GGAGUGGCUUCAACUAUAAAUUGUGUACCAUCUGAGUUCAGAAGAUUGUUGAUUUGAAUCGGUAAGAGCUUAUGGGUUUGAUGAGAUCAGUUUUUGUUAAGCUUCAGUCUCCUGUUUCAGUUCUGUUUGAUGAUAACCAAGUGCUGUGUCUUGAUAAACCUAUCAGGAUCAGUUGUCUAAAUUCAUAUAUGGUUCACUCUUGGUUGGUGUAUGAUUGAAUUUGUAUCAUAGAACCAGUAGCUGAACUUAUGUGAAUUGUCUGAAUUAAACCGAACUGAUUUUAUCUUGUCCUCAACUGAUCUGAGCCGAGCUUUCUAUCGUCUGAACUUGUCAUGUACUGAUAUAGUCUGAGUUUAACUGAAUUUUUAGGACCAGAGCUGAAAUUGUCUUGUACCGAACUGAUAUUAGCGGAACUAGACUGAAACGUUAUGAGCUGAGAUGAGUUUCUUCUUGAACCGGAAUGAUGAACCUUAUGUUCCAACAAUUUUGUUUUGUUCAGUUACCCGAGGAUAUUGGAAUGGUCAGCCCGAUCAUGCCUUGUCUUUAUUCUGAAUCUGGAAGUGAAGAAGAAGUUGUGUGUGAUUAGCUUGAGCUCGAGUCUAGUCUUCCUUAGCCAAUCUCUUGGACUCAAAGGUGAGUCUAGAUAGAUGAUUGACGAGUAGUGAAUGAAUAUUUCUUGAUUGAAUGUACUGAUUGUAGAUGAUUGAUAGGCUUUGUCUCUUGAUCAAUAUUGAAUUAGUGAUGUGUUUACUUAGUGUAAACGCUUAUUAAAUAUUUAUAAAUGUUCAUAGAGGUUUACUCCGGAGCCAUAGUACUUGUUCACAAGUACUAAUAUAUAAUAUAAUUAAGUAUGGAAGUAUUAAUCAUGUGAAGUCUUAUUAUAAACUUGUCUUCCAAAAUAUUCCCGUAUGAAUGAUUAAUACCGUGAAUUGGUCCUGCGAUAUGGAACAAGGUCACGAAGACACGUUGAUGGGGUCGCACCCUGGAGGCCAAUGAGCUGAGAUGAGUUUCUUCUUGAACCGGAAUGAUGAACCUUAUGUUCCAACAAUUUUGUUUUGUUCAGUUACCCGAGGAUAUUGGAAUGGUCAGCCCGAUCAUGCCUUGUCUUUAUUCUGAAUCUGGAAGUGAAGAAGAAGUUGUGUGUGAUUAGCUUGAGCUCGAGUCUAGUCUUCCUUAGCCAAUCUCUUGGACUCAAAGGUGAGUCUAGAUAGAUGAUUGACGAGUAGUGAAUGAAUAUUUCUUGAUUGAAUGUACUGAUUGUAGAUGAUUGAUAGGCUUUGUCUCUUGAUCAAUAUUGAAUUAGUGAUGUGUUUACUUAGUGUAAACGCUUAUUAAAUAUUUAUAAAUGUUCAUAGAGGUUUACUCCGGAGCCAUAGUACUUGUUCACAAGUACUAAUAUAUAAUAUAAUUAAGUAUGGAAGUAUUAAUCAUGUGAAGUCUUAUUAUAAACUUGUCUUCCAAAAUAUUCCCGUAUGAAUGAUUAAUACCGUGAAUUGGUCCUGCGAUAUGGAACAAGGUCACGAAGACACGUUGAUGGGGUCGCACCCUGGAGGCCAUAUAACUGCAUGCAGCGUUAGAUGUUCGAUCUUUGAAUAUCUGAUGGCAAUGAUGGUGAUGCUAACUCGCUAGACUCGUUUAGCCUUUGUGGUUUCUCGGGUCUGGUAUAUAUAUAUAUAAGUAUGAUUAUAUGAAUGAUAUGAGAGACGGGAAUAUGAAGUGAGGUAUAUGAUUAGAUUCACAAUGAUGGAAGGAUAGACCUUAUAUAUAAAUAUCAGUUAUAGAAUAUAUUUCCACUGCAUAUAAAUGGAGUUGACUGCUUGAGAUAUUAUUAAUAUAUGUUGGGGUGAGGGACUAGGCUUACUAAGUAAACUAGUUACUCAUGACUCAUUUGUGAUGCAGGUAACCAGUAGACGGGAGACCUUACUCUAGGACGGGAUGGAACAUCAUUAGCCAGCGGUAGUUUUAUUAUCCUUGCAAAGGCGUUUUGAUAUUUCUUAUGUAUAAGAUUUGUUGACCGAAAACCUCGAGGUUAAUUUAUAACAAAUUUUGUAAGAUGCUUUUAAAUGAUAUAUAAGGAAUGUUUUUAAAGUACGGGUUCCAUAUGAUACUAGUCCUUGUCAAGACGAACUAACUAUCAGAUAUUUCUUUUUCGGGUUGAAAAUCCUAGAGUGAUAUUCGGUAGGAGCGUUGGUGUUCUUUGGUUGUUGGUCUAAGGUGAUUGGAAGUAUUCUGAGAACCUCGGAUCGACCAUCGAGGAACAUCGACCGUGUCAUUUCCGGUCAUCUAUGAUCGGGGGUGUCCCAAAGGUGGUAUCAGGGCAUGGUUAUACGAUGCUGGAAUGGGACUUGUUUCAAAUGUUUUUCGAGUCAAAAUUAGUUGCAAGGAUAACUAGGAUAUGCUGGCUGGUUCCUUUAUUUUAGGAUAGAUAGUCAUGGGUAGUUACCUAACCGUAAUCUUUCAUAGCAGAAGCACCGAGACAAGCUUGAGCGGGUGGACCGUUCUUACCGAUGUGACUAUCAUCAUGCUCGAGUUUGCUACCCUCAUGGUCGGGUUCACUACCCACUACAAAAAAUAUGGGUAUUGGUAGCAGUUCGUGGUAGCACGAAUUCACGAACUGCUACCAAAAAUACCAAAAUCGGAUCACAACUCAAUCGUAGCCCUAAAUUCGCGCCAUGAAAAUUUUUCUUAAGUUAAAACAAAAAAAAAUCAGUUUUGUAGCUGAAAUUUUAUUUUGGAGGGCAAAACACUUAACAAAUUUCACAUUCCCACCAAAAAUUUAUGUUUUCGUAGAAAUUGUUAUUUUUUUGCCCAAGUCAUCUUUAUUUUACAAAAAAAAAAAAACAAAUUCAUUUUCUCUAUCAUCAUCUUCAUUGUUUAUUUGAAUCAAUCUAUCCAUUUCGAUCGAAGAAACACAUAUGGAUUGGUCUUGUUCAAAGUCGAAUUCAGAAACCCUAAUCUGUCAAGCCGUUGGACCCUUCUUCUUCGUCAUACCCAAACUCCUCCAUACACGGCGAAUUGGCUCCUUCACCUUCCUCCGCUGCUUUUCACCACCAUCACAUUUGCCGCUUCUUCUUCAUAUUCCCUUUGUUUUUAUCAAUCUCAAUUGCACAGAAGUCAAAACUCUAGAGGUCAUCGACCUAUAUCCUUGGACAAGGUAUGGCUCAGCGUGAAGACGUUUAUGACCUAGAUAGCCACUAGAUUCAAGGUUUUGUUCUACUCCAAAGCUCCAGUUUCAAUUGGGUCUAUAAAAAUCUCCCUUUUUUGUUGUUCAGUUUUCACGAGUUUCUUUUGUUCGAUUUCGCUGACAAAACCCCCUUGCUUUUGUUCAAUCGAUUUCGGCAUUACUGUUUAUGUUUCUAUUAAAAAUCUCUCCUUUCUGCUGUUUCCUCUUGACAAAACUCCACCUUGAUUUUGUUCACUUACUUUUGUAUUUGUUUACGGUAUGACCAGAACUGGAUUGUUUAUGUUGGAUUAGCAGAAAAAGGUUUGUCUUUUUGGUGUGUGAUUCUGAUUGUUUCUCUUUUAUUGAUUUAUGCAGCUAGGAACUGAGUUCUUAUAUGAGUUUUCUGUGAAAAGUUUUACUAUUUUAAUGAUGCCUCAAGGAGUUGUACCAGUUCAGGGAUGGACCCC
rnacentral:lncRNA from 1 species